UACAGAGGGUGCGAGCGUUAAUCGGAAUUACUGGGCGUAAAGCGUGCGCAGGCGGUUUUGUAAGCCAGAUGUGAAAUCCCCGGGCUUAACCUGGGAAUGGCAUUUGGGACUGCAAGGCUUGAGUUUGGCAGAGGAGACUGGAAUUCCUGGUGUAGCAGUGAAAUGCGUAGAUAUCAGGAGGAAUACCGAUGGCGAAGGCAGGUCUCUGGGCUAGAACUGACGCUCAUGCACGAAAGCGUGGGGAGCAAACAGG
rnacentral:rRNA from 1 species